rnacentral:lncRNA from 1 species
AAAAAAAUAAUAUAUAUAUAAAUAAUAUUCGAUUAGAUUCAUGUAAUGAUGACCAUGGUUUUUAAUCUUAUAUUCAGUAAUCUAGUGAUUUUGAAGGGAAAUUUCAUAAUUUACUAGGUGUGAGACUCAUGUAUUACAUGAGUUUAUUUAAAAAAAAUUAAAUAUAAAAUUUUAAUAAUUUGAGAAGUUUGAAUUUAUAAGAUAAAUGAAAAAAAAUUUAAAUUAUUAAAAUUAAUGAGACUUUAAUACAUUUAAUAUAUUACAUAUAUAAAUCAUUUCUAAUAAAUAUCUUACAUAUAUAUUACCUUACAUAUUAAAUGUGAAAUUUUAAUUUAAUAAAAUGAAAAUUACAAUAAAAUGACAAGUGGAAAAUAGAAAAUUCAAAAAUUCUAGAAAAUGUCAUGUGUCCAAAUGAAGGAGAAAAUGACAUGUGGCAAAAAAAAACCUUCAUUUAUUAAAGAGGAUAUGAGUAAGUGGCUAUGUAUAGUAAUAUUUAUUUUAAAAUUUCCUAAAGACAAUAGUCAUGGAAUAUAUUAAAAGGGUAAAUAAAAUCUAAAUGAAUAUAAUGUCCCGAUUUUAUUUUUGACAAUAGCAAAAGUUUGGGAGUAUCAAACAUCAUUUUCACAUAUCUUUGAGACGAUGACUUGGAGACAAGAAGGAUUUUUAUGAUCACUUUGUAUCAUCCAUGUUGGUAAAUAUAUAGAACUUUAUUUGUGUAUUUUAUAUUUUUAAACUAUUAUUUACAUAUAAUAUGUAUUAAUCAAAUAUUU